UAAGUCAGAAUCCGUGCUAGAAACGAUGAUGUUGGUGUCGCACAUUAGACUUGGGUUUAAAUAGAGCUUUGCUCGUGAACCAAAUAUGGUGGGCUGGGUUGUCUUUGCGGAAACGCUUAGGCGACUUGUCUACGAAUUGUAAUCAUAAUAUGGGCGGCGGUGAAUCCUUUGCAGACGACUUGAAUGGGAACGGGGUACUGUAAGUGGUAGAGUAGCCUUGUUGCUACGAUCCACUGAGGUUAAGCCCUUGUUCUAAAGAUUUGUUC
rnacentral:rRNA from 1 species